GAGGCGCAUGGAAGGGCUACUUCGACUUUUAAUCGGCUUGUCGUUGGUUCGAAUCCAACUCCCGCUUCG
rnacentral:tRNA from 1 species